GUGGGGAAUAUUGGACAAUGGGCGCAAGCCUGAUCCAGCCAUGCCGCGUGAGUGAUGAAGGCCUUAGGGUUGUAAAGCUCUUUCAGUAGGGAAGAUAAUGACGGUACCUACAGAAGAAGCCCCGGCUAACUUCGUGCCAGCAGCCGCGGUAAUACGAAGGGGGCUAGCGUUGUUCGGAUUUACUGGGCGUAAAGCGCACGUAGGCGGAUCGUUAAGUCGGGGGUGAAAUCCUGGAGCUCAACUCCAGAACUGCCUUCGAUACUGGCGAUCUUGAGUCCGGAAGAGGUGAGUGGAACUCCUAGUGUAGAGGUGGAAUUCGUAGAUAUUAGGAAGAACACCAGUGGCGAAGGCGGCUCACUGGUCCGGUACUGACGCUGAGGUGCGAAAGCGUGGGGAGCAAACAGGAUUAGAAACCCCAGUAGUCC
rnacentral:rRNA from 1 species